rnacentral:rRNA from 1 species
UACCAGCUCUCCGAGUGGUAGGGAUGAUUAUUGGGCUUAAAGCGUCCGUAGCCGGCUUAGCAGGUCUCCUGUUAAAUUCAGCGACCUAAUCGUUGAGCCGCGGGAGAUACUACUAGGCUAGGAGGCGGGAGAGGUCAACGGUACUUCCGGGGUAGGGGUGAAAUCCUAUAAUCCCGGGAGGACCACCAGUGGCGAAGGCUGUUGACUAGAACGCGCUCGACGGUGAGGGACGAAAGCUGGGGGAGCGAACCGGAUUAGAUACCCGGGUAGUCCCAGCUGUAAACGAUGCGAGCCAGGUGUUGGGGUGGCUACGUGCCACUUCAGUGCCGCAGGGAAGCCAUUAAGCUCGCCGCCUGGGGAGUACGGCCGCAAGGCUGAAACUUAAAGGAAUUGGCGGGGGAGCACCACAAGGCGUGAAGCUUGCGGUUC